AACGCACCUUGCGCCUUUUGGUAUUCCGAAAGGCAUGCCUGUUUGAGUGUCAUGAAAUCUCAAUCCCCUCGGGUUUCUGAUCUGGGGUGGACUUGGACUUGGGUGUCUGCCGUCGCUUGACUGGCUCGCCUUAAAAGACUUAGCAGGAUAGCACCAUAGUCGACGUAAUAAGUUUCGUCGGUGAAGGUGUGAUGUCUGCUUACAAUCGCCCUUGGGCACUUUUGACUCUGACCUCAAAUCAGGUAGGACUACCCGCUGAACUUAA
rnacentral:misc_RNA from 1 species